AUUGAACGCUGGCGGCAGGCCUAACACAUGCAAGUCGAACGAGUGGCGGACGGGUGAGUAAUGUCUGGGAAACUGCCUGAUGGAGGGGGAUACCUACUGUAACCGGUAGCUAAUACCGCAUACCAUCAGAUGGGCCCAGAUGGGAUUAGCUAGUUGGUGGGGUAACGGCUCACCAAGGCGAAGAUCCCUAGCUGGUCUGAGAGGAUGACCGGCCAAACUGGAACUGAGACACGGUCCAGACUCCGACGGGAGGAAGCAGUGGGGAAGAUUGCACAAGGGGCGCAAGCCUGAUGCAGCCAUGCCGCGUGUGUGAAGAAGGCCUUCGGGUUGUAAAGGACUGUCAGCGGGGAGGCGUUACCCGCAGAAGAAGCACCGGCUAACUCCGUGCCAGCCGCCGCGGUAAUAC
rnacentral:rRNA from 1 species